UUUUAAAAUGUUUUGCAGAAUAGUUAAAGUCUGGAUUAGACCCUUUGAUUAAAAGUCUGCUCCUUGAGAUGUAAAGGAUUGGAAGAAGUCUUCUGCAUCUUUGGUGUUCUCUCACAGAGACAUGAAGCACUCUCAUAGUUAUGUGCAUGAUAGAAAAUAUUAAGAAUCAAGAGAGGAGUUCCUGUCGUGGCGCAGUGGUUAACGAAUCCGACUAGGAACCAUGAGGUUGCGGGUUCGAUCCCUGCCCUUGCUCAGUGGGUUAACAAUCCGGCGUUGCCGUGAGCUGUGGUGUGGGUCGCAGACGCGGCUCAGAUCCCGCGUUGCUAUGGCUCUGGCAUAGGCUGGCAGCUACAGCUCCGAUUAGACCCCUAGCCUGGGAACCUCCAUAUGCCGCAGGAGCGGCCCAAGAAAAGGCAAAAAAACAAAAACAAAGAAAAAAAAAAUAAUGUUUGAUGUCAUUUAUCCAGAAAAAAUUAAGAUAGAUAGGAUUGAAAUAGAUCAUUGAAUUGGGCUGGAAGAUGACUAUUGAUGACCUUUUACCAAAAAGCUGGUAACCCUCAAGAGAAUGAAGCUAUAUUAUCCAGACAUCUUUCAGACCCACUGAAAGGAGCCUCUUUCUUCUACGUCCCUGCUACCUCUGCUGUCAUGUGCACACACAGAAAAAUCAAAACCACCAAAUUCUGAUUUAGAUACAUUGGCCAUUAUAUGUUCAACUCUACCUAAAUAGCUCAUUAUUCACUGCUUUGGUAUUUCAUUGAUUUUCACUGUCCAUUUGCCCUCUUUCAGAAAGCAAUGUUAUUACUUCUUUAAGGUGUCCCCAGUACCUGACAACUGCAGAACAUCUAAUUAUAUACAUAAGUCUUGAAAAGUAUUGUUGAACUUUGUUUACUAAGCUAUUUCUAUAUUUUAAAAAUUACAUAACAGUUCUCAAUUAUCAUGUUCCACUUUUUCUCAUUACUUUUUCAUUCUUAUAAAUAUGUAUAUUUAUCAGAAGAGCCAUUGAUUAAUUGGUUAAUGCAUCCUAUCCAUGAUCUCUGUGAUCUGUUCCUUUUUUUCCCCUUUUACUUCAUCUACAGUACUUAUUUCUGUAAUAUUUCUUUGCUUUCAUCACACCAGUUUAUUUUUCUCUUUUCUGCUGCUCUCAUCUCAGCCAAUAAUAUGUUGCAGAGGCAUUUGAAAAUGAGGAUGAAAAGAAAUCACUAUAUUUAGCCAAUCAGGUUUAUUCUACUGAGUGUCACCAUUUUUAUUUUGAAUAUAUUCAUUGUUUCAACAUCGUUGGACAGUCAGGAAAAAUACCAUUAACUCUUACUGGUUAUUUUAUAACUGAUUGAAAAUGCAACUUUUCAGUAUUACCUAUGCUGACUUUAGACUAAUUUUUCAGUUCACAGAAACACUCAGCAGAAGAUACAGAGAGUUCCUACACAUGCACAAUUCCCCCCCUCCCCGCCCCCACCGCCACUAUCAACAUCCCAUACCACAACAGAAUAUUUGUUACAGUUAAUGAAUUUUUACUGACAUGCCAUUAUCACCCAAAGUCCGUAGUUAUGUGACAAUUUACUCUUGGUGGUGUACAUGCUGUGGGUUUGGACAAACAUAUAAUGACUUGUAUCCACCAUUUGAGUAUCAUACAGAAUAGCUUCACUGCUCUAAAAACCCUCCAUCCUCUUCCUACUCAUCCUUCUUUUUUCUCUUAACCUCUGGCAAUCUCUCAUGUUUUGCCUUUUCCAGAAUAUCAUGAAGUUGGACUUAUUCAGUAUGUUGCCUUUUCGGGUUGCCUUCUUUAAGUUACUAAUAUACAUUUAGGUUCUUUCAUAUCUUUUCAUGGUUUGAUAGCAUAUUUCUUUUUUUUUUCAAAUUAAGACUUUAUUUUUUUAGUUUUAGGUUCACAGAAAAAUUGGAGGGUGGGUACAGAAAUUUGCCAAAUACUCCUCACCCCCACACAUGUGUGGUGUCCCUCAUUAUCAAUAUGCCUUGCCAAAGGGGAACAUUUGUUACAAUUGUAAUUACCUACAUGGCAGAUCAUAAUCACUUAGAGUUCAUAGUUUAUAUUACCGUUCACUCUUGGUUUUGUACAUUCUAUGCAUGACAUGUAUCCAUCAUUAUGGUAUCAUGCAAAAUAUUUUCACUACCCCCAUAUUUUCCAUGCUCCACCUUUCCAUGUUUAUUACUCCAUCCAGCCCCUGAAAAUCACUGAUCUUUUUAUUAUCUCCAUAUUUUUGCCUUUUCCAGAAGGUUAUAUAGUUAGAAUAAUUCAGUAUGUUGUCAUUUUUAAAUUGGCUUCUUUCACUUAGUAAUAUCCAUUUAACAUUCCUGCAUGCCUUUACAUGCAUUUUUAAGUGCUUAAUAAUAUUCCAUUAUCUGAAUAUAACAUUAUUUAUCCAUUCACAUACUAAAGGAAAUCUUGGUUGCAUCUAAAUUUUAGCAAUUGUGAAUAAAGCUUCUGUAAUACAUCCAUGUGCAUGUUUUUGUGUGGCGUUUUCAGCUCUUUUGGAUAAAUUCCAAAGAGUAUGAUUGCUGGAUUAUAUGAUAAGAGUACGUUUAAGUUUACGAGAAACCACCAAACUGUCUUCCAAAUGGCUGUGCCAUUUUGCAUUCCCACCAACAGUGAAUAAAGAUUCCUAUUGCUCCACAUCCUUGCCAGCUUUUGGUGUUAUCAGUGUUUUGGGCAUUCAUCAUUCUAAUAAGGUGUGUAAAGGUAUAUCACUGCUGUUUUAAUUUGCAUUUCUCUGAUGACAUAUGGUGUAGAACAUCUUUUCAUAUAUUUAUUUGCCAUCUCUAUUUCAUAUUUGGUGAGAGAUCUGUUCCAAUGUCUGCUGAUUUUUUAUUCAAACUGUUUUUUUAAUAUUGAGUUUUAAGUGUUUUCUCUAUAUUUUGGAAAUAGUUCUUUAUCAGCUAUGUCUUCUGCAAAUAUUUUCAUCCAAUUUAUGGCUUGUCUAUUCUCUUGAUAGUGCCUUUCACAGAGCAGAAGUUUUUAAUUUUAAUGAAAUCCAACUUAUUUUUUUCUUGGAUCAUACCUUUGGUAUUAUAUCUAAAAGUCAUCACUAAACCCAAGGUCAUCAAGAUUUUCUCCUAUUUUACCUUCUAGGAAUUUUAUCGUUUUGCCUUUUUACAUUUGGGUCUGUAAUUCAAUUUGAGUUAGUUUUUGUAAAGGGGUAUGCAGCCUUUGUCAGGAUUCAUUUUUUUAUGUGUGGAUAUCUAGUGCUUCUAGCACUAUUUGUUAAAAAGACUAUCUUUUCUCCAUUAUAUUGCCUUACUCCCUUGGUCAAAGAUCAGUUGACUGUAUUUAUGUAGACCUGUUUCUGGGUUCUGUAUUCUGUUCCAUUGAUCUAUUUGUCUAUUCCUUUGCCAGCACCACAAUGUCUUAAUUACUGUAACUUUAUAGUAUGUCUUAAAGUCAGAUAAUGUCAGAUUCCAAAUUUGUUCUUGUCAUUCAAUACUGUGCUGCUAUUCUGUUCUUUUACCUUUCCAUAUAAACAUUUGAAUCUGUUUUUUAUCAUCCGCAAAGUAACAUGCUAAGAUUUUCAGUGGGAUCACAUUGAAUCUAUAGAUCAAGUUGGAAAGAACUGACAUCUCAACAAUAUUGAAACUUCCUAUCCAUAAUCAUAGAAUAUCUCUCUAUUUGGUUCUUUGAUUUCUUUCAUCAGAGUUUUAUGUGUAUAGGUAUAUUUGUAUAUAUUUAGACAUCCUUUUUAUCCUCAUCAUUUUAACUUAAUUUAUUAAAUGGGACCUCCUUAAGGACUUUUUUCUUUUCUUUUCUUUUUCUACAAAUAAGGCUAUGGGGUGGCAUUCUUAGUUUGAAUCCAGAGGGAAAUAGUAAGAGUUCCUUUCGCAGAAAUCCUGUUACAUCUCGAUGGCUUGGGUAAAGCAUUAACCAAGUCACCAGCUUUACUCCUGUACCUACCCAGGUAGUAGAAAAGGGGAUUCUAGG
rnacentral:lncRNA from 1 species